AUACAUGCAAGUCGAACGCUGAAGCACUCUGCUUGCAGAGUGUGGAUGAGUGGCGAACGGGUGAGUAACACGUGGAGAACCUGCCCAUAAGAGGGGGAUAACAUCCGGAAACGGGUGCUAAUACCGCAUAGGUAUCCGACACGCAUGUGUCGGSUAUGAAAGACGGCUUCGGCUGUCGCUUAUGGAUGGCUCCGCGGCGUAUUAGCUAGUUGGUGAGGUAAUGGCUCACCAAGGCAGUGAUACGUAGCCGACCUGAGAGGGUGAUCGGCCACACUGGGACUGAGACACGGCCCAGACUCCUACGGGAGGCAGCAGUAGGGAAUCUUCCACAAUGGGCGCAAGCCUGAUGGAGCAAUGCCGCGUGAAUGAAGAAGGUCUUCGGAUCGUAAAGUUCUGUUAUCGGAGAAGAACACGUCGAGUAGUAACUGGCUCGACCUUGACGGUAUCCGACCAGAAAGUCACGGCUAACUACGUGCCAGCAGCCGCGGUAAUACGUAGGUGACAAGCGUUGUCCGGAUUUAUUGGGCGUAAAGCGAGCGCAGGCGGUCUUUUAAGUCUGAUGUGAAAGCCCACGGCUCAACCGUGGAUGGUCAUUGGAAACUGGAGGACUUGAAUGCAGAAGAGGUAAGUGGAAUUCCAUGUGUAGCGGUGAAAUGCGUAGAUAUAUGGAGGAACACCAGUGGCGAAGGCGACUUACUGGUCUGUUAUUGACGCUGAGGCUCGAAAGCGUGGGGAGCGAACAGGAUUAGAUACCCUGGUAGUCCACGCCGUAAACGAUGAGUGCUAAGUGUUGGAGGGUUUCCGCCCUUCAGUGCUGGAGCUAACGCAUUAAGCACUCCGCCUGGGGAGUACGGCCGCAAGGCUGAAACUCAAAGGAAUUGACGGG
rnacentral:rRNA from 1 species